rnacentral:ncRNA from 2 species
UGACCAUCCCGAGCGGCACGAGAGAUCUGGCUCACUGACGCCGCAGCAACCCUCGCUUUUUCUCCCAAGGACUGAAGGGUGCUACUGCCAGAGACGAUGGAGG